CUGCCAGUCUUCAAGAAUAACCUCGCUUCUGCAGUGGUUUUGAAGAAAUUCAGUGAAGUAACAGACUGUGUGAUGGAAGCAUAUUUCAGUUAAAAUUAACCUUGGGAACAAUUAAAUGGUACUCCUGUCUCAGAAGUUUUCUGAAGCUCCGGGAGUAAAAUGGAAAGUCAAUGGCCACUAAGAAAAGCGAAAGGGAUCAUGACCUGAAGGUUUGCUUCUCCCCUCGCCUCCAUAAGGACUGAGGCCAGGGUUCCCUGCUUGUUGCUUGGUGCCAGCAGUGGCGGCCAGCUGUCCAGCGCCCCUGCCAUCGCACACAGCUCGCUGAGCCUUACCUGGACCACAGCACCUUCGCUCUCCCCAGUCACUGGAAUCACCACAGAAGUGCGCGUUUGGGGGUUGUUCUGGGGCAGAAGUGAGACAAACUGAGAAUCAUGAGCCAGGGGAGCAAGAACAAAGACUGCGGGUGGAAGACCGCUCUUCCCAAAGGGACUCUCAUCAGCCUGCGUGAAUAAGGAUUCAUUUCCUACUUCAGACACGUCUACUUCUGGUUGGUUUUAGAUUCCCAGGGACAGUUCCAAGGAAGUUCCCAGGUACUUGGUUAGCUCUGUGAAAUGAGUCAAAACAGCCCCACACACCUGGACCAGCGACCAUCCCGCCUGUGCUCUGUUAGAACGGAGAGACUGUCCAGGGACUCCCAGGGGGCCUACGUUUUGAUCGUCAGCAAGGCAGUGACAUUCGGAUCCCACAGACUUCCUGAGUCGAGAGAGAAUCACAUGGACGGAGUUGCAAACUGCCCCUUAUUUAAGUCUCCCAAAGGGCUUGACCAAAACAAAUGAUGGAGAGGAGGAGCCCCGGGCCAGAAGACAUGUUUAAGGUUAUAGAGAGUGAAUAAAGCAGGACUACAGCUACUAGAACAUGCUGGGUUCCAGGAGUUUCAUCCAUUAGACCGUUCUGUUGGCUUUACUGGGUGUGAAGAAUGAAGGAAAUGCCUCACUGCUUAGUGGAUACCCCGACAGGCCUACUCAGUGAGACACGGCUGCUCGAUGGAGUCGGCACAGGGCUGGCUGGGGACCGGCCCUCUCUGGGUAACCUGGACACACAACUCCCCUGCUCUGGGCCUCAGUUUCUUCGUGGAAGAUGGAUUGGGCUGUGCUGGCUCCAGGAUCUUCUAAUAGCAAAGGCAAGCAUAUUUACUUACCUGCCUCGACGCACUUUUUUUUGUAUUUCAUCAUGUGGUCGAGGCAGCCUGGAGAUUUAAGUGUAAGUUUUUCCAUGUUAGAAGAAGGUACCUCUGCUCCACACCCUCACCAGCAAGCACACACGCACACAUGCUUCUCACACUUGUAACAAAUUGCCAGAACAUUCAAGAUGUGAGGUAAGAUAACAAAUUUAAAUAAACAGUAACAUUUGGCAUUUGGCAGUUAAACAGAAGAUUACCCACAAAGUGAUAACCGGAGUCUAAUUUAAAUAGAACCUUUAUCAGACGAGUAUCUAUGAUCCCCAGGAGAAGACUCAAACCUUUAAAAAAGCAGGUUUGAUAAUAUAUGUAAAUACUGCCCCUUCCAGGAAGUGGAACUCAAUCCACCCCACACCCCUACCAUGGAACAGGGGGAGAUUUAAUCAUUUGUUUAAGAAAAAGAAAAAAAAACCCACAGUAGAGAAAUGGAAAAUCCAGUAGAUUUACAAUGGAGGUACCUGGCAGAAACCACUCACCCAAGUGAUGAUGGUGAACAUGACCGGUGACGUGGUGUGUAUGUCACCCGCCCCUGAUAGGAGGCGAGGAUCAGGACACUCCACCUCUGCACUGUCUCUCCAGAACCUACCACCCCCAGUCUAAUCAGGAGACAGACAUCAGACAGAGCCAGAUGAGGGGGGCGUUCUGCAGGAUGCCUGGCCAGCACUCCAGAUUGUCAGGGUCAUGAAGAACGAAGAAAGACCCAAAGCCUGUCACAGACCAGAGGAGGCUGAGGGACCCGAGGACUAAAUAAGGACUGGCACAGAAAGAGGGCAUUCAUGUAAAAGCAGGUGGCAUUGAAAUAAAGUUUGGAGUUUAGUUAAUAGGAAUAUACCCAUGUUGGUUUCUAGCCUUUGACAAUUGUACUGUGGUGACAUAAAAGGUUAAUGAUGGGAGAAACUGGGAGAGAGCUAUAUGGGGAUCCUUUGGACAUCUACACAUUCUCUGUAUUAUCUUUGCAAUUUCUCUGUAAAGUUAAAAUUACUCCAAAAUUCAACAUGUAUGUUUCCUAAAAUGAGGUUUGGUCGCAUCAAGAAAGCUGAAAACUACUGUGUAGUAAGUUGCGGGGCACCA